rnacentral:rRNA from 1 species
CAGCCGCCACGGUAAUACGGAGGGUGCAAGCGUUAAUCGGAAUUACUGGGCGUAAAGCGCACGCAGGCGGUCUGACAAGUCAGAUGUGAAAUCCCCGGGCUUAACCUGGGAACUGCAUUUGAAACUGUCAGGCUGGAGUCUUGUAGAGGGGGGUGGAAUUCCAGGUGUAGCGGUGAAAUGCGUAGAGAUCUGGAGGAAUACCGGUGGCGAAGGCGGCCCCCUGGACAAAGACUGACGCUCAGGUGCGAAAGCGUGGGGAGCAAACAGGAUUAGAUACCCCGGUAGUUCCUGUCUCUUAUAC